CCUACGGGAGGCUGCAGUAGGGAAUAUUGCACAAUGGGCGCAAGCCUGAUGCAGCCAUGCCGCGUGUGUGAAGAAGGCCUUCGGGUUGUAAAGCACUUUCAGCGGGGAGGAAGGCGGUGAGGUUAAUAACCUCAUCGAUUGACGUUACCCGCAGAAGAAGCACCGGCUAACUCCGUGCCAGCAGCCGCGGUAAUACGGUGGGUGCAAGCGUUAAUCGGAAUUACUGGGCGUAAAGCGCACGCAGGCGGUCUGUCAAGUCGGAUGUGAAAUCCCCGGGCUCAACCUGGGAACUGCAUUCGAAACUGGCAGGCUAGAGUCUUGUAGAGGGGGGUAGAAUUCCAGGUGUAGCGGUGAAAUGCGUAGAGAUCUGGAGGAAUACCGGUGGCGAAGGCGGCCCCCUGGACAAAGACUGACGCUCAGGUGCGAAAGCGUGGGGAGCAAACAGGAUUAGAUACCCUUGUAGUC
rnacentral:rRNA from 1 species